rnacentral:rRNA from 1 species
AGAGUUUGAUCAUGGCUCAGAUUGAACGCUGGCGGCAGGCCUAACACAUGCAAGUCGAACGGUAACAGGAAGCAGCUUGCUGCUUCGCUGACGAGUGGCGGACGGGUGAGUAAUGUCUGGGAAACUGCCUGAUGGAGGGGGAUAACUACUGGAAACGGUAGCUAAUACCGCAUAACGUCGCAAGACCAAAGAGGGGGACCUUCGGGCCUCUUGCCAUCAGAUGUGCCCAGAUGGGAUUAGCUUGUUGGUGAGGUAACGGCUCACCAAGGCGACGAUCCCUAGCUGGUCUGAGAGGAUGACCAGCCACACUGGAACUGAGACACGGUCCAGACUCCUACGGGAGGCAGCAGUGGGGAAUAUUGCACAAUGGGCGCAAGCCUGAUGCAGCCAUGCCGCGUGUAUGAAGAAGGCCUUCGGGUUGUAAAGUACUUUCAGCGGGGAGGAAGGUGUUGUGGUUAAUAACCGCAGCAAUUGACGUUACCCGCAGAAGAAGCACCGGCUAACUCCGUGCCAGCAGCCGCGGUAAUACGGAGGGUGCAAGCGUUAAUCGGAAUUACUGGGCGUAAAGCGCACGCAGGCGGUCUGUCAAGUCGGAUGUGAAAUCCCCGGGCUCAACCUGGGAACUGCAUUCGAAACUGGCAGGCUUGAGUCUUGUAGAGGGGGGUAGAAUUCCAGGUGUAGCGGUGAAAUGCGUAGAGAUCUGGAGGAAUACCGGUGGCGAAGGCGGCCCCCUGGACAAAGACUGACGCUCAGGUGCGAAAGCGUGGGGAGCAAACAGGAUUAGAUACCCUGGUAGUCCACGCCGUAAACGAUGUCUACUUGGAGGUUGUGCCCUUGAGGCGUGGCUUCCGGAGCUAACGCGUUAAGUAGACCGCCUGGGGAGUACGGCCGCAAGGUUAAAACUCAAAUGAAUUGACGGGGGCCCGCACAAGCGGUGGAGCAUGUGGUUUAAUUCGAUGCAACGCGAAGAACCUUACCUGGUCUUGACAUCCACGGAAGUUUUCAGAGAUGAGAAUGUGCCUUCGGGAACCGUGAGACAGGUGCUGCAUGGCUGUCGUCAGCUCGUGUUGUGAAAUGUUGGGUUAAGUCCCGCAACGAGCGCAACCCUUAUCCUUUGUUGCCAGCGGUCCGGCCGGGAACUCAAAGGAGACUGCCAGUGAUAAACUGGAGGAAGGUGGGGAUGACGUCAAGUCAUCAUGGCCCUUACGACCAGGGCUACACACGUGCUACAAUGGCGCAUACAAAGAGAAGCGACCUCGCGAGAGCAAGCGGACCUCAUAAAGUGCGUCGUAGUCCGGAUUGGAGUCUGCAACUCGACUCCAUGAAGUCGGAAUCGCUAGUAAUCGUGGAUCAGAAUGCCACGGUGAAUACGUUCCCGGGCCUUGUACACACCGCCCGUCACACCAUGGGAGUGGGUUGCAAAAGAAGUAGGUAGCUUAACCUUCGGGAGGGCGCUUACCACUUUGUGAUUCAUGACUGGGGUGAAGUCGUAACAAGGUAACCGUAGGGGAACCUGCGGUUGGAUCACCU